rfam:Triticum aestivum genome assembly, contig: Triticum_aestivum_CS42_TGACv1_scaffold_114645_2AS
AUUAUACUCCCUUCAUCCGGAAAUACUUGUAAUCAAAAUGAAUAAAAGGGGAUGUAUCUAGAUGUAUUUUAAUUCUAGAUACAUUUCUUUUUAUCCAUUUUGAUGACAACUAUUUUCGGACCGAGGAGUACCAA